UCUGGCUCUGUGGAGCCACGGGAGCGCAUGUACAGCAGCAGCCGGCUGUGUCAUGGGGACAAGAGGCUGAGGUGGAGCAUCGUGUGACCUGUAGCCUGGCAUCUCUGGACUCGCAGGUCUCUUUCCUCUGGCACAUUAGAAUUCCCCUGGGAAUGAAACUGACAGAGCCUUGGGACUGGAGAAGAGGGUCUACAGAUAUGAGCACUUGCUGCACUCACAAAAGACCCAGCACCCACAUCAGUGUUUCACAAUCCUAGGCUCACCUUUCAUUCUUCUUUACCCAAUCAGAGGCUCCAGCUCCUGGACUCCUUUAAGAGAGAAGUCUGCCCUCUGUAGCAGCGGAAGCAUGGAGGAGCUCACAGUGGAGGAGAAUGUGGUGGAAGUACUUUGUGUGGAAUAGGAACCUGGAGUGGAUAUAACCGUGAAAGGUCCUCUCAUAGGGUCUUAUUUCCACCACCUCCCUAAAAGCUAUGCAUGGCCCUGCUAGUUGGGAUGUUCAACCUAUUGACAUUGUGAUAGGAUGUUUUUUGUCUUCAAAGUCCACACUCAAGAACCAUGCAAUUGAAUUACACAAACAAACAAACAAACAAACAAACAAAUCGCAGUAGAAUCUCCAUUAUUGAUAAUUUUGUGUUGGGCUAUAUUCAUAGCUAUCCAG
rnacentral:lncRNA from 1 species